rnacentral:rRNA from 1 species
UACGUAGGGUGCGAGCGUUGUCCGGAAUUACUGGGCGUAAAGAGCUCGUAGGUGGUUUGUCGCGUUGUCCGUGAAAACUCACAACUCAAUUGUGGGCGUGCGGGCGAUACGGGCAGACUGGAGUACUGCAGGGGAGACUGGAAUUCCCGGUGUAGCGGUGAAAUGCGCAGAUAUCGGGAGGAACACCAGUAGCGAAGGCGGCACUCUGGGCCGUGACUGACGCUGAGGAGCGAAAGCGUGGGUAGCAAACAGG